rnacentral:rRNA from 1 species
AUGGCGACCGGCGCACGGGUGAGUAACGCGUAUGCAACUUACCUAUCAGGAGGGGAUAGCCCGGCGAAAGUCGGAUUAAUACCCCAUAAAACAGGGGUCCCGCAUGGGAAUAUUUGUUAAAGAUUCAUCGCUGAUAGAUAGGCAUGCGUUCCAUUAGGCAGUUGGCGGGGUAACGGCCCACCAAACCGACGAUGGAUAGGGGUUCUGAGAGGAAGGUCCCCCACAUUGGUACUGAGACACGGACCAA